AAAUUGAAGAGUUUGAUCAUGGCUCAGAUUGAACGCUGGCGGCAGGCCUAACACAUGCAAGUCGAACGGUAACAGGAAUCAGCUUGCUGAUUUGCUGACGAGUGGCGGACGGGUGAGUAAUGUCUGGGAAACUGCCUGAUGGAGGGGGAUAACUACUG
rnacentral:rRNA from 1 species